rnacentral:lncRNA from 10 species
UGCGAUGAGCUGCGAUGGGCGUGUGAGUUUGCAAUCGUGGUGAUUUGCAUCCAGAAUUCCAGCCGUACUUCGCGGAGACGAACGUGAAAUUCCAGAACAACCCACUUGGACAGGCACUUGGACACAGUGAGCAAUGCCCACAAAGGUGGCCACAGGAAGGCGGGGACACCUGUUUGACAGAUUCAAAAACAGGCCCAGAGAGACUCCACCUGUCCAAGGUUGGAGGCAUAGGCCAAGAGGAACUGGGUCUGGGGGCCACAUUGGCCUGGUCUCCUGCCCUGCCCGGUCUGGUCUCCUGUCCCACCUGGUCUCCCGCCCUGCCUGGUCUCCCGUCCCACCUGGUCACCUGCCCCUGUCCUGCCUGGUCUCCUGUCCCACCUGGUCACCUCCCCCUGUCCUGCCUGGUCUCCCAUCCCACCUGGUCACCUGCCGGUGUCCCGCCUGGUCUCCCGCCAAAGGAGCAGGCCCAGGGAGUCCCGCGCGCCUGUCCCGGCUCACCCAUGGAGGCGAUGAUGCUGUGCACGGGCAGGCGGGCCGGACCCUCGUGCAGCCCCUG